GACCCUGUCCUUAAACAUGAGCAAAAGAAGCCAGAUGCGGCCUCAUCAACCGAGUAGAAUGAAGGGAGAGUGAAUGGUCGGAUGUUUAAUGUGGUUCAAGUUUUUUUUAUGUCUCUAUUUGUCAUGAAUUUUUUUUAAGCUUCUGGUUAGACAUGAAGUAUGAGUUUAAUAAUGCUGAGAUAAUGACCUGAAUUUUUUAAUUUCCAAAGUGCAAGGCUAUUGAUAUUGAAUCUCAUAAUAGAAGCUACAUGCCUCCAAUACAUAACUAAGGAGACCUAUGUUAAAUAAACCAAUGAAAUGUUUCCACUAGACUUUCAAGAAUGGUUGUCAAGAUAAAUUUAUGUUUGAAACAGUGACAGAAGUUUACUUGCUCUGUAUUAUACAUCACGAGUCUAAAUUCUAGUAAUAUAUUUUCAAUCGCUCCCUGGAUUUGACAUUACA